rnacentral:lncRNA from 1 species
GGCCGAGAGUUUGAGCGCCAAGGCUCUCUCUCCCCAGGGGACUCUGCAACCUGACUAGGUGCUCCUUCCCUGAGGUGUGUGCUCGACAAAGGUUGCUGAAAAAGUUCACGUUGAAAUUUUUUUUGAUGAUAAUAUCGUGUUACUCAUUUCCUUUGUUUCUUAGCAUAGUAACAUUCCAGGGAGCUGCCCGGGGAAGCUUAACGCUCGAUGCGGGUGGUAGGAAUGUAUCAUGGUGGGAGAGUCAUGGCAGCAGGCAGCUGGAACAGGACACUAAGUAAGAACACCUUCAACUACAAGCAGAAGUCAAGGAGAACUGAAAGUGCUAAUGGAGCUGUGAGAGUUCCUCUUUCAAACUUUGUCCAGACUACCAUACCAGCCAAGAUUCUUCUGAUCCUCUCACCGCCCACAUGCUAACUCCUGCCAGGAAACAGCCAAGAAACCUAUAAAGGCUGUCCAGGGAUCAUGAGGACUUCCUACCAGCUAAGCCACAGCCUUGUCCUCAGGUUACAGCCUCUGUGGGUGGCAGUAGGGGUGGCUUUUUGUUUUGUUUUGUUUUCUGCAGGGUCCCUGAAGUCAGCUCUGGAAAACUGAGAAGAGUGCUGCGUGCAGAAUGCUUCGCUGGAUGUUUUUUUCCUCUAUUCUCACAGACAACUGGAACCUUGAGAGCCAAGGGAGAUUGUGGAGAGGAUGUGAGCAGAUGGCCGCUGAGGAUAGCUGACCGGGUGGGUGGGCUGGAACCUAGGCCAGGACCUGCCACCUGAGGAUUGUGCCUGCGAUGUCCAUAUGAUUGUGAACAGCUAAACAGGGAGCUCUGCUCUGUUGAAAAUCAUAAAGUUGAAAAUGAAAAGAGAUAAAACCUUAAGCACAGAA